AAACUUCACAAUGGAGGCAACUCCGAUGAGGGAAUUCCAAGUGCUAGCACAUUAGUGUUAGCUUUUCUUAAGCAUAGAUAACUUAAGGAAUAAGGGCUGGGUAAGACGGGUGCCAGCCGCCGCGGUAAUACCCGCAGCCCAAGUGGUGGUCGAUUUUAUUGAGUCUAAAACGUUCGUAGCCGGUUCAUUAAAUCCUUGGGUAAAUCGGAUGGCUUAACUACCCGAAUUCCGGGGAGACUGGUGAACCUGGGACCGGGAGAGGCAAGAGGUACUUUUGGGGUAGGGGUAAAAUCCUGUAAUCCUAAAAGGACCACCGGUGGCGAAGGCGUCUUGCUAGAACGGAUCCGACGGUGAGGGACGAAGCCCUGGGUCGCAAACGGGAUUAGAUACCCCGGUAGUCCAGGGUGUAAACGCUGCAGACUUGGUGUUGGGGACCCUUUGGGGGUGUUCAGUGCCGGAGAGAAGUUGUUAAGUCUGCUACUUGGGGAGUACGUCCGCAAGGAUGAAACUUAAAGGAAUU
rnacentral:rRNA from 1 species